AGUUCGCGUGGAAAUCGCGGUCUUUUCCUUAUUGCAGUAAAAGUUCUCAGUGAGGGAACAAUACCAUAUCACACUCGUGAUUAUUUCUCCCCUUUUUCAGGGGCGUAACAUUUUUGGAGGCUCCGCUGAGAUUGCUGCUCAGAUGUCCAGUUUCCACAUCCUGCUCGCUGAAUUCCGAGCCAGCUAAAUCCUCACAUAACAACUCAGGCAGGCUGCAGUGAGGAAAGUGUUGCUGUUCGAGGGGAGCUGGAAGUUGGUGGUUAAGUACGUGUCAGCUGAGGCCAUUGAUCGACCAUCAGAGACAGUAAGGACCAUCUAAUUCAGAGUCAACUCCUGCACAGUAAAAGUUCCUCCUGUUCUGUUAACAUGACGACCGCCUUGGAAGAACUACAGGAAGAGGUAGUAGGAGAAUUGCACACCCUGACUAAAGACAAGUUAGUAGAGAUAUGUGAUUUCCUUGACAUCUCAGGCGAACAGAGAAGAGAUGUUCAAGACAAAUCCCGCAUAUCAUUGAUGACUCACAUUAUGAUGUUCCUUGAAAGAGAGGAAGUUGCAGAGUUAGAAGAUGGCGGCAUGUCGGAAUUGUUGCUACUUAAAGACAAAAUGACAGAUAUGAUCAGUGGCAUAGAUCACAAAACAGGGCAAACUGACCAUGAUAUUGAAACAGCCGGAACACAUCACAGAAUAGAGGAACUGAGAACUGCAACCCCACAAUAAGGGGUGGGAACUGAGCAGAUUACUGCAGCCAAAGCCAGUGAUUCAGCCCCAACCCCAUGCUAAUCUUCAGGUGAGCGUGCCGCUCUCACCCAGUGCACAGCCCAGCUCAUACUGGCGCAAAGGGGCUAUUUCUCCAGGCUCACAGCUACGCAGCUACUUGGAAGGCCAGAACAGAUGCACGCUGCACACACUGCUUCCGUUGUGGGAGUGGAGAACAUUUUCAAGCUGGAUGUAAAAUCCGGGGAGUCAGACAAUCAAGAGAGGCCCCUUUAAACGGGGAAGGGUUACCGCUGAGGGACAAGUGUUAACCGUAGCUACCAAAAAGUCCCAGAAAUGUGCAAAUUGUGCCAGAGAAGAUUCAUUUGAGAACCUGAAACAAUGUUCAUCAUGUAAAGAGACACUGU
rnacentral:lncRNA from 1 species